rnacentral:rRNA from 1 species
UACGAAGGGUGCAAACGUUGCUCGGAAUCAUUGGGCGUAAAGCGCACGUAGGCGGCGCAGUAAGUCGGACGUGAAAUCCCUCGGCUCAACCGAGGACGUGCAUCCGAAACUACUGUGCUCGAGUAUGGAAGAGGGUCGCGGAAUUCUCGGUGUAGAGGUGAAAUUCGUAGAUAUCGGGAGGAACACCAGUGGCGAAGGCGGCGACCUGGGCCAAUACUGACGCUGAGGUGCGAAAGCGUGGGGAGCAAACAGG